AGCAGCCGCGGUAAUUCCAGCUCCAAUAGCGUAUAUUAAAGUUGCUGCAGUUAAAAGCUCGUAGUUGAAUUUCGGGACCAUCAUGUUGGUCGUGCCUCGGUACGUACUGGCAUUGUUGGUUUCUCCCUUCUGACGAACCAUGAUGUCAUUUAUUUGGUGUCGUGGGAAAUCAGGACUGUUACUUUGAAAAAUUAGAGUGUUUAAAGCAGGCUCACGCUUGAAUACAUUAGCAUGGAAUAAUGAAAUAGGACGUUUGAUUCUAUUUUGUUGGUUUCUAGGAUCGACGUAAUGAUUAAUAGGGAUAGUUGGGGGCAUUAGUAUUCAAUUGUCAGAGGUGAAAUUCUUGGAUUUAUUGAAGACUAACUACUGCGAAAGCAUUUGCCAAGGAUGUUUUCAUUAAUCAAGAACGAAAGUUAGGGGAUCGAAGACGAUCAGAUACCGUCGUAGUCUUAACCAUAAACUAUGCCGACUAGGGAUCGGAUGAUGUUAAUUUUUUAAUGACUCAUUC
rnacentral:misc_RNA from 1 species